GAUCCAUGGCCGGUGUUCUUCAAGCGGGAGUGGAAUCGCAACUGGCCUUUCCUUGUUGGAUUCGCUAUUACGGGAACUAUUAUCACCAAGUUCUCCCUUGGCCUAACUGAGGAGGACGUGAAGAACUCCAAAUUUGCGCAGCGGCACAAGUGAAAGGGGUUAGUGAGUGAUUUGGUUGCUGAUGCAUUGAUAGUUUCUUUGAUUUUCACUUUUUGCCGUAUCUCCUAGAUGAUAUAUCUAAAAUAAAUCUUGCGAACAUUUCAGCUGAAUCCGUAGUAUUUGUGAGUUGAUUUCAUUAAGUUGAGGUGUAUUCGUGAUGAAGAAAGAAAAUGCUCCUCAUUGUUAUUUGAACAUUUUGAUUGAAUGAAUGAUAUUGAACUGAUUUCGAACA